CCCGACGGCCAUACCACCCUGAAUGUGCCGGAUCUCAUCUGAUCUCGGAAGCUAAGUGGGGUCGGGCCUGGUUAGUCCUUGGAUGGGAGACCGCCUGGGAAUACCGGGUGCUGUAGGCU
rnacentral:rRNA from 1 species